rnacentral:tRNA from 1 species
GCCUGGGUGGCUCAGUGGGUUAAGCAUCUGACUUCAGCUCAGGUCAUGAUCUCACAGUCUGUGAGUUCGAGCCCCGCAUCGGGCU